GCCCGGCAUCAGAACAUUCCAGGCAUUCCCGUGAUUGGCAGAUAGCAGGUUGAUUGGCAUGUCGGACCCCGCGAACACUGGGUACUUACUGGAAUUAAAAACGUUCAAGGUGGAGUCGCUAUGCCAUCAGAACAUGCAAGGCUUCUUCGGUGGCCUUUUCCCCCUUAAAAGAUUCCCCCCAUUGUGAAACCACUUCUUCUACCUAUAUUUUCAGUACAAUCAUAGACUCAUUGCCAUCAACAGAGAGAAAGGCUCUGAAGGACAGUGCCACAGAGGGAAUGGAGUUGAGUUGCCAUGUGCUUCCUCUUUGGGACUAUGACCUUGCAGCCUUCAGAGUGGCCCCCACUCCCCUGACCUCAGUCCCAAUGAUGCUGAUGCCUAAAAUAAUUGAGGGCUUCUCCUGUUAACCCCUAUGUACCCUCCCUAAAAUCCCCCUCCUCGACCGCCUCAAGACAGACACCAGAUGCAUCCCUUCUCUCCCUACCUUUAGCUUCAAUGAUUUCCUACGGGACCCUAAUGGCGGCAGUGGGCACCAGUUGCUGGAGGGCCUGAAGAAAGUGGCCCUGUCUCACUGCAACUAGAGGAAGUUGGUUGGGUUCUUCCUAAUGUAACUGCACCAAGGGCAGUGGGCUGAAGUGUCCAAGCAGCUGAAGUGUCCAAGUCCACUGAGAAAGUGCUAGAGGCAAAGACCAGAAUCCCACAGAGGCAGAUCAUAUGUGAAACAUACUGUAUAUAAUAUAUUAAAAGAUGACCUGUCAUUGUAGUAGACUAGAGUCCAGAUUGUAUUAUUAAGUGAGUAUUGUAUGACAAGGAUGCUUGCUUUUGUAAGUUACAGUGGUGUACUGUUUCCUCAUGUGUAUUGUGUGUGUGUGUUAGUAUUUGUUGUGUUAUCUGAUUAAAACUGACAGCAUUGAUCCGUAUGGAGGUGCAGGCUCAGAUGAUGUGUCGGUUGAACUGUCAGGGAGAUGAGACCUGCAGGUCUGAGCAGAGGUCUGUAGAGAUCUGGGUACCACCAGGGGAAAGACAAUAUGUUCAGAAGCAGGAAAACAUAUACCCCCAGGCAAGAACAUGUUUGCCUUCUCACUUACUAUACCAUAACCAACACUACAUAAACAGCCCUCUUAAAACACACCUUUUUAUUGGUGCCUUUCCUUAUCGUGCUUUUUAGUCGUUCAGUUUUGAUUUGUUAUUGUUUUGUUUUUUUCAUCUUAUGUUUGUUGUAUUGUAAAUAUUUCAGUUUUUAUUUUCCUGUGUAGCACAUUGUGUUGCAUUCCUUGUCUGAA